rnacentral:rRNA from 1 species
GAUGAACGCUGACAGAAUGCUUAACACAUGCAAGUCCACUUGAACUUCGGUUUGGGUGGCGGACGGGUGAGUAACGCGUACAGAACUUGCCUCACAGCUAGGGACAACAUUUGGAAACGAAUGCUAAUACCUGAUAUUAUGAUUAUAUGGCAUCGUAUAAUUAUGAAAGCUAUAUGCGCUGUGAGAGAGCUUUGCGUCCCAUUAGCUAGUUGGAGAGGUAACAGCUCACCAAGGCGAUGAUGGGUAGCCGGCCUGAGAGGGUGAUCGGCCACAAGGGGACUGAGACACGGCCCUUACUCCUACGGGAGGCAGCAGUGGGGAAUAUUGGACAAUGGACCGAGAGUCUGAUCCAGCAAUUCUGUGUGCACGAUGAAGUUUUUCGGAAUGUAAAGUGCUUUCAGUCGGGAAGAAAAAAAUGACGGUACCAACAGAAGAAGUGACGGCUAAAUACGUG